rnacentral:lncRNA from 1 species
UUGAAAAAGUGUGCAUUGUAGCACUGUAAUUUCAUCUGCCACGACAUUGUAGGUUCAGCAUCGCGAAAGACUUGGUCACAGAUUCGACGACGCGGCAGCCUACCACCGCACGAAGGUGCGCCCGCACAGACCGUCGGUGUCAGGAGUGUCGUCCCUGCCAGGGGAAGAGUUCAGGCACAUCAGCUCUUGGAAGCUCACCGCCGCUAUGAAGAAAAACUACGAUCACGAACCACAUCCCAUGUUCGUGGAGUUAUGCGAGUUGAAGGAGUCGACCAUGGGGUUGGAGUGGCGGCAGACGGCUC